AUUGAACGCUAGCGGGAUGCUUUACACAUGCAAGUCGAACGAGUGGCGGACGGGUGAGUAAUGUAUCGGAACGUGCCCACUGGCGGGGGAUAACUACUCGAAAGCGUGGCUAAUACCGCAUACUAUUAGAGCGGCCGAGAGUGGAUUAGCUAGUUGGGGGGGUAAAGGCGCACCAAGGCAACGAUCCCUAGCUGGUUUGAGAGGAUGACCAGCCACACUGGGACUGGGAAACGGCCCAGACUCGUACGGGAGGCAGCAGUGGGGAAUUUUGGACAAUGGGGGAAAGCCUGAUCCAGCCAUCCCGCGUGUAUGAGAAGGCCUUCGGGUUGUAAAGUACUUUUGGCAGGGAAGCGGUAUCUGCAGAAGAAGCACCGGCUAACUACGUGCCAGCAGCCGCGGUAAUAC
rnacentral:rRNA from 1 species